UACGUAGGGUGCGAGCGUUAAUCGGAAUUACUGGGCGUAAAGCGUGCGCAGGCGGUUCGACAAGUCCGAUGUGAAAGCCCCGGGCUCAACCUGGGAAUGGCAUUGGAAACUGGCGAGCUUGAGUGUGGCAGAGGGGGGUGGAAUUCCGCGUGUAGCAGUGAAAUGCGUAGAGAUGUGGAAGAACACCGAUGGCGAAGGCAGCCCCCUGGGUCAACACUGACGCUCAUGCACGAAAGCGUGGGGAGCAAACAGG
rnacentral:rRNA from 1 species